ACCGUCAGUGAUGUUUCAUUUACCUACCUUGGUCGAGUUUAACGACUAUGAGAAAACUAACAUGCACUACCAUCUGAGACGGU